GGCGCUAUAGCCAAGUGGUUACGGCGACAGAUUAGAAUCUUAUUUCAUCUGUUCCUCUUUGAGGGCGCAGGUUCAAAUCCUGCUGGCGUCG
rnacentral:tRNA from 1 species